UAAUACGGGAGAUGCAAGCGUUAUCCGGAAUUAUUGGGCGUAAAGCGUCCCGCAGGCGGUUACACAAGUCUGUCGUUAAAGUACACAGCUUAACUGUGUGUGAGCGAUGGAAACUGUGUGACUAGAGUGCGGUAGGGGUAGGGGAAUUCUCGGUGUAGCGGUGAAAUGCGUAGAUAUCGGGAAGAACACCAGCGGCGAAAGCGCCCUACUGGGCCGCAACUGACGCUCAUGGACGAAAGCUAGGGGAGCGAAAGGGAUUAGAUACCCCUGUAGUCCUAGCCGUAAACGAUGGACACUAGGUGUUGUCUGUAUCGACCCGGACAGUGCCGUAGCCAACGCGUUAAGUGUCCCGCCUGGGGAGUACGCACGCAAGUGUGAAACUCAAAGGAAUUGACGGGGGCCCGCACAAGCGGUGGAGGUAUGU
rnacentral:rRNA from 1 species